GACGAACGCUGGCGGCGUGCUUAACACAUGCAAGUCGAACGGUGAAGCGCCUUCCUUUUUGGUGGGUGUGGAUGAGUGGCGAACGGGUGAGUAACACGUGAGUAACCUGCCCCCUUCUUCUGGAUAACCGCAUGAAAGUGUGGCUAAUACGGGAUAUUCUGGGUCUGUCGCAUGAUGGGUCUGGGAAAGAUAUUGUUUCGGUGGGGGAUGGGCUCGCGGCCUAUCAGCUUGUUGGUGGGGUGAUGGCCUACCAAGGCGGUGACGGGUAGCCGGCCUGAGAGGGUGGGCGGUCACACUGGGACUGAGCCACGGCCCAGACUCCUACGGGAGGCAGCAGUGGGGAAUAUUGCACAAUGGGCGCAAGCCUGAUGCAGCGACGCCGCGUGAGGGAUGGAGGCCUUCGGGUUGUGAACCUCUUUCGCCAGUGAAGCAGGCCUGCCUCGUUUGUGGGUGGGUUGACGGUAGCUGGAUAAGAAGCGCCGGCUAACUACGUG
rnacentral:rRNA from 1 species